rnacentral:rRNA from 1 species
GACGAACGCUGGCGGCGUGCUUAACACAUGCAAGUCGAACGGUAAGGCCCUUCGGGGUACACGAGUGGCGAACGGGUGAGUAACACGUGGGUGAUCUGCCCUGCACUUCGGGAUAAGCCUGGGAAACUGGGUCUAAUACCGGAUAGGACUCCUGCCUGCAUGGGUGGGGGUGGAAAGCUUUUGCGGUGUGGGAUGGGCCCGCGGCCUAUCAGCUUGUGGGUGGGGUGAUGGCCUACCAAGGCGACGACGGGUAGCCGGCCUGAGAGGGUGACCGGCCACACUGGGACUGAGAUACGGCCCAGACUCCUACGGGAGGCAGCAGUGGGGAAUAUUGCACAAUGGGCGCAAGCCUGAUGCAGCGACGCCGCGUGAGGGAUGACGGCCUUCGGGUUGUAAACCUCUUUCAGCACAGACGAAGCGCAAGUGACGGUAUGUGCAGAAGAAGGACCGGCCAACUACGUGCCAGCCGCCGCCGUAAAAC